rnacentral:rRNA from 1 species
UACAGAGGGGGCUAGCGUUGUUCGGAAUUACUGGGCGUAAAGGGCGCGUAGGCGGCCUUCUAAGUCGAACGUGAAAUCCCCGGGCUCAACCCGGGAACUGCGUCCGAGACUGGGAGGCUUGAAUCCGGGAGAGGGAUGUGGAAUUCCAGGUGUAGCGGUGAAAUGCGUAGAUAUCUGGAGGAACAUCGGUGGCGAAGGCGGCAUCCUGGACCGGUAUUGACGCUGAGGCGCGAAAGCCAGGGGAGCAAACGGG